GCGUAAUUGGUUUAGUGGUAAAAUUCUCCGUUGCCAAUAAAGAGCCCUGGGUUCGAUUCCCAGAUUACGCA
rnacentral:tRNA from 2 species